GCUGAUCAUUUACGGGGAAUCGAUUCCCGCGGGCGCGCUGGCGGCCGGGAGCGUGCGACGUCGGGCCCAAUUCCCCCUAUUGUGAGUCGUAUUAACUUCGGAAACGGGGGCUAAUACCGGAUAUUUCCUGUGCAUCGCAUGGUGUGUGGGGGAAAGUUUUUUCGGCCAGGGAUGGGCUCGCGGCCUAUCAGCUUGUUGGUGGGGUGAUGGCUUACCAAGGCUUUGACGGGUAGCCGGCCUGAGAGGGCGACCGGCCACACUGGGACUGAGACACGGCCCAGACUCCUACGGGAGGCAGCAGUGGGAAUAUUGCACAAUGGACGCAAGUCUGAUGCAGCGACGCCGCGUGAGGGAUGACGGCCUUCGGGUUGUAAACCUCUUUCGCCAAGGAUGAAGCGAAAGUGACGGUACUUGGAGAAGAAGCGCCGGCCAACUACGUGCCAGCAGCCGCGGUAAGACGUAGGGCGCGAGCGUUGUCCGGAUUUAUUGGGCGUAAAGAGCUCGUAGGCGGCUUGUUGCGUCGUCCGUGAAAACCUGGGGCUCAACUUCAGGUCUGCGGACGAUACGGGCAGGCUGGAGUUCGGUAGGGGAGACUGGAAUUCCUGGUGUAGCGGUGAAAUGCGCAGAUAUCAGGAGGAACACCGGUGGCGAAGGCGGGUCUCUGGGCCGAUACUGACGCUGAGGAGCGAAAGCGUGGGGAGCGAACAGGAUUAGAUACCCUGGUAGUCCACGCUGUAAACGUUGGGCGCUAGGUGUGGGGGGCCUCUCCGGUUUCCUGCGCCGUAGCUAACGCAUUAAGCGCCCCGCCUGGGGAGUACGGCCGCAAGGCUA
rnacentral:rRNA from 1 species